rnacentral:rRNA from 1 species
AGCCUGAACGCUGGCGGCGUGGCUAAGACAUGCAAGUCGUACGGGUGUAGCAAUACACCAGUGGCGGACGGGUGAGUAAUGUAUCGCUAACGUGCCCCCCAGUCCGGGAUAGCCGAGGGAAACUUCGGGUAAUACCGGUUGACAUCACGAUCAGGCAUCUGAUUGUGCUCAAAGGGAAACCGCUGGAGGAGCGGGCGAUAUCGUAUCAGCUAGUUGGCGGGGUAACGGCCCACCAAGGCGACGACGCGUAGCCGGACUGAGAGGUUGGCCGGCCACAUUGGGACUGAGACACUGCCCAGACUCCUACGGGGGCUGCAGUAACGAAUCUUCCGCAAUGCACGCAAGUGUGACGGAGCGACGCCGCGUGUGGGACGAAGCCCCUCGGGGUGUAAACCACUGUCAGGGGAUAGAAAGUUCUGAUCAUCCCCAGAGGAAGGCACGGCUAACUCUGCGCCAGCAGCCGCGGUAA